GUGUUUUUGCAGAUUUUCAAAUAAAACUCAGUGAUUCCUUGUAUGACUCUCUAAAUCUCUCUUUUGUGGUAUUUCUGGAUCCUUACCAAGGCAGUGAUGGUAUAUUCCUUCUCUCAAGAUAUGUGGUAUUUGUGGUAUAAGGCAUAGUGACAUUGCCUUCUCUCUCUCACCCUACUCUAAUAAGGCUUUAAUAUCUGGAGCUCAUAGGUGGGAGAUAAAGUAUACAUACUUACAAGACAUUUAUUGUAUAGUCAAACCAUGGAUCCAAAGAAACAAAUCAAUAAGCCAAAUCAAGAUGUGCAUGUGUGGCGAAUGAAUGGUGUAUGGUGAUGAUGGUGAUAACAAUGGUGAAAGUCUAAUUCUACUUUUGCUCUUUUGAGGGGAUACAUACCUUCCUUGCUUUUUGAAACUUUAUGAGGAGAAUGAGAUGCUCUUCUUUUUCUUUCCUCUCAGGUGGGUAUCUUGUACCCCUAAUUCUACUGUCGGACACUUGUCCAUUUUUACCUCUCGUCUCACUUUUUCUUUCUUUCGAGGUUCCGGGCACUUGCCCCUUUUUAUUUCCUCGUUUUUUUUCUUUUUAGAGCACUCAUCUCUUGAGAUAAUAUAGCAAGUGGUAGUAGCAAGAUAACUUGAGCAUUUAUUUCACAAGGGAAAACAGAAAUAUUUUUGGCUAUUCUCUCCCGGAUUAGGAGUAGAAUAUUUUUGGGUGGUUCUGGAGAUGGACAUGGAUGGAUAUGUGGAUGGUACUUCCGGAGUAGAAGUAGCAGAUGUGAGUGAACGUGCAAGUGAAUCUUGAUUUAACCACAUGACAAGGUCCUAAGGGUCUACACAGCUUGACCACACUCAAUGCUCAUAAGCAGUAAAUAAUAAAUGUGUGGCUCAAAGUCUAGCAAGCAUGUAUAUAUGGCUGUGGUAGGAAUUUAAACUCUCAUCAUACAGGAACUCAUCAUGCAAUAUUUUAAAGAUUUUUCAAAGAUAAAAUUCUCUAGAAUUCUAGCAUCUCUAGGAACAGAUAAACAGCAGCUCAACCUUCCCAUAUCAUAUCCGUUAACAACAUAGACUUCAGAUCAAGUUUUCAUCCCACAAGUCUAGAUCUAGAGCAAGCUUUAAAUUAUAACAGUUAUGUCUAAACUUGAGAGAGAACUUCAAAUUUGCAAAUUAGGCAGAGCAACUAUUCAUCAUAUCCAUGCUAGAGUUUUAUUAUUAAGAUUCAGAUUAGCAUAGCCACUUUAUUUAUUUAUUAAACACACUAAGCAAAAGAUAUAUAUAAGCACAAAAUCUUUAUUUGGUUUUUCAUAGUUUAUGUAUUUUAAUAUUCUAAUAUAAUAUAAGUAUAAAGAUAGGUAGAAAUACUUAGCGAGAUAAAUGGGGGUGCUCUCCCCCAAGCUGAAUUUUGACGUAAUUUCUCUUGAUGUAGCUAGCAGGUGGCAGAGGUGUAUUUGAAAGUCAGCAGCAUUCUAACAGCGAUUAGAAUGUCCUCCGUCUGCUAGUCUUCUUGAUUCUUAAAUUCUGUGGAGCUCAAAUGGACAACAAAGCUUGUGGAACUAAUUAAGUGUUAGCAUAAAUAUCUAGCCUUCAUCAUGUUGAGCUUCCUCAAUAAAUAUUACUCCCUGUUUUUAUAUUUUUAUUUUAUAAAGCAGAAAAGAAAUAUUUAUUUUAUUUUUAUGCCACCACAGUGAAGGUACUUAUGGGUUUUAUGCCACUCGUAUACUCACAUGGGGCUUAGUAUUUUCUAACAUUUUUAUUUUCUUUUGAAGAUAGCAUGAUUAACUAAUAAUCUAUUGAAGGAAAGUAAAUAAUUAAAGGGAAAAGGGAAUGCAGAGAGGAUAAAUAUGGAUAACUACCGAUCUUACCUUUCGGCGAGGGUUCAAUGUUUUAAGUCUUCUUAACAAGACUUCUCACCGUGUUCAUUCUUCAGAUGCAUCAUUUGAUUCAGUGCGGACCUUGACGUUUGCACCUCUUCGUUUGCCCAGCAGUUCGAAGUGCGGCGUUGGCAGUAUCCUGCUCAGUGUGUUUGUGCUCGUAGAUCCAGGUCCUUCACUUGGUAGAGUCUGAGAGUUAUAAAACUCCUCCGUGUUUUGCUCAAAGUGUACCUGCUCAUAGAGACAAGGCAGAGAUCAGGUACAUGGGUCCUGUUGGUGGAAAACACCAACAGAACCUAAAGUGUAUUUGUUCUUCUCUUACCCUAAGCAUAGUGAGCAAGACAAAGUUGAUGGAUGAAAUGUUCAUGAGUGUAGCACUUAUAACAUUUGUCAGAUCAGAUCGCUCAACCUUAUGGAAAGAUAAUCUAUCUAUGUAUAUGUCUUUUUCUUUAUAUCUCUCAAUGAUUGAAUUUGUAAUAUUUUAGCUCAUAUGAUUAGGAGUGUGGGAUCAAGGAGGUAGUACUAAGAACAAGGAUUAAAGGACUAAAUAUGUUGAAUCAGUUGGGUUGGUUAAUCUAGAGUUGUAAAUCAUACAUGUUUGUCCCUUUUAUUUAUAUGAACGCCAGAACCAAGGAGAGGCUUAUAAAAGUGAUAGUCAAGUACCUUAAGAUGUUACCUUGCUUGAAGAGUGAUGGUACAGUAUCACCUUGUGGAAGCUUUCCUUCCUUAGCGGUUGUGCAUCGUGUUUGUGGCACCCUCCAUGGAUCGUCUCUCUAUGAUGAAUGAGCUAUGUCCUUCUUGUGCAAAUUGUUAAACUUCAUGUGUCACUCUCUUCGUCUCUGAUGUGAGUUUAUCUCAAGACUUCCCAAAUUGAUAUUGAAAGUUUUUCUAUAGGGGUUAGUCCGACAAAAAUAUACCAAUGUCUACACAAGCAGUUUUUAGUUCAAUAACUGAACUAGACUCCAUGUCUAAUCAGAUUAAGGAAGGCUGUUUAACCUAAGCACCAUGCUUAAUUUAAAAGCCAAUAGAAGUAUGUGCAGUACUUCCAAACUAACACUUACUAGUAAAUAGACAAAGGUAACAUGACAGCAUUUAUAUAGAUCUACUCAAGUGGAGAUGAAGUAGUGUGAUUAGUAUUUAACAAAUUGAGCAUGUCUUAAAGGUAGGGACAACCAACAUAGCAACAUGGCAAAGGAUGUUUUUAUGUAAAGUACUCCCCCAAGCUUGAAUUUUGCAGAAUUCAAGUUUGGAUGAAUUUAAUUCAGUGUUGCAUGAUGAUUGGUUAAGGACAUACCUUGUACUUGCUUGUCAUUCAUCGGAUCUUCUUGUUCCUAUCCUGGAAAGGUUAGUGACAAGAAUACCCGAAGGAAUAUUUUUACAAUUAUCCUUAUAUGCUCAAUACACAAGGUAAUGUUGCAAAUAAAAAACUCAUGUUACGAUCUGAUCAGUGCUUAUUUUAGGACACCAAGCUUGUCCUUGGGAAACCAUCAAUUUAUGUCAGCGAAGUGGUUUCCCUUCCAAUGCUGACCUAAAUCAAGAUCAACUCAACGAGAUCUGCAAUAUUUAUUAUAGACAUAUGCAUCGACAACCGCCCUUUUAAAGUUUUUAUAAAUAGAAAAGAAGAGGGGGUUGGAGAUCUCAAAUAUGGUGAUGUCAGAGAGACCAAUAGAUUGGGAAGAUGUUGCAUAUGAGCAUGGAGUAAACAAAGUGGCUAUGAAAUAAAUUCCAUGCUCAUUAAUGUUAUCUUCGUCUCCAAUCUGAAUGUUCAGAGUUUCUCUUGGAUUGGUCUCACUUAUGUCCUCUUCUAUAGUUGGAUGAAUCCCAUCUUCAAAGAGAGUCAAGAACUCACCAUUUGAAAUUGAACCAAAGUCAGAAUUCAUUAAGGCUUCUUCCUUAUCCAUCCAUUCCACACAUUCUAGCCAUUUAGAACUUGUGAUCAGGAAAGGGGAGGUGUUAGAAUUUUCAAUAUGGCUUAGCUCUCCUUCACAUGAUAUGUCAUCCUCGACUUCUUCAUAACAGGAACCAGGACAUUCUCUAAGAGAACCAUUAUUGCGAGGAUUUGAAUUAUCCCUGCUUGAAGGUCUCUUAUGGAACUAGAAGUCUAAACCAUCAGCAUCUGAAAGAUUUAAGGUCGGAAUUCCUUCCUCCCUUGGAGAAUUUUGGGGUAUUGAUGGUUUAGGAUCGAUAGCUAAAGUUUGGAAUUGAAGUGGUUGUGAUCUGGCUAUCGAAACUUCUUCUUCUUGUCUAGGAACUCGUUCUGUCUCUUUCUCAGGGAUAUAAAAGCUAGGAGACUUUCCACUUAAUAAAUCAAUCAAAUUCCAAGCUUCACUAGCAGGUAAUAAAUCAAUCAAACUCGUUCUGUCUCUUCCUCUAGAGGCUGUAUUCAAGGUUUGCUUAUUUUCCCCACUAAGGCCCUCAAAAAAGUGAAUUAGAAGAACUUCUUCUGGAAUAGAAUGCUUUGUGCCAGUGAGAGUAAGGUUAAUAAAACGGUCCCAUGAUUUCCUAAGAGAUUCUUCUUUCAGUUGUCUAAAAGAAAUAAUCUCACGCCGAAGUUCCGCCACUUUGGAGAUUGGAAAAUAUUUAGAAAGAAAACUACUAUAUAACUCCUUCCAAUCUCCAUGAACACUCCCUAUUUUGAGUUUGUACCAAUGUCUAGCUUUCCCCGUUAAAGAGAAUGGAAAGAGCUUCCAUUUAAGGGUCUCAUCGGACAUUCCUUCUAUGCGAAGGAGGUCACAGACUCGAUAAAACACUCUUAGGUGUGUGUAUGGGUUUUCCUCACCUUCUCCUGAGAAAGGUUGUUUUUGAACAAAUUCUAUGUAUUCGGGGUUUAUCUCAAAACUAGAUGCUAUGAUAGGCUUUGAAGAUUUUGGUGGUUUGAGAUGUGUGCCCGUAGGUCUAUGAAAAUCAUAGAUAGACAUGUUUGAAUUCAUGAUAGACCAGAGAUCAAGGAUUAGAUAAGAAGAAAGAUUAGCAGAGAUGAGGCAAAGGAUAAAAGGAAUAUAUAUAUAUAUAUAUAUAUAUAUAUAUAUAUAUAUAUAUAUAUAUAGAAAAGGAUUAAGCUAGUUCGUAGUCGAUUCAGCAACCGUUUCCCCGGCAACGGCGCCAAAAAUGCUUGUUGACACUUACUAACACCACUUGAAUACUAGGUUGUCAUCCCUAGCAUGGCACUAGAGUGUACUAUGGUAUUUAUACACACACAGAUAAUCCACAAGCGCACGGAUACCGUUGAAGCUUUUACCCGGUUAAAGGUUUUAUCGUAUCCACAGGGAAACGGGAGAACCACCUACGCUCUAACUUAACCAAGAUAGAUAAGUAAGUGUAAGUAGGAAAGAUGGUAGAAUUAAAUAAGAACAAUAUUAAAGGUAAGAUAACAAUGGGUGAUAAUAUGAGAAUAGAGAGUAGAGCAAUCUAGUAUAUGGGUGAUGAUAGCAGAAUAGAGAGAAUAACUAUGGUUUCUCUACUUCAAAGGGGUAUGUCUAUGUCUGGGACGAACCACGUGAUAAGAGUACACCACAAAGGAUGCUUAUCCUUAGGCCGAUAAACCCUACCCGUCCUGCUAACGAGAGGUGGACUACAGAGGACCAACGUAACUGUCACCUACGCGGCCUACCACACGAUCUGGCUAGACAGGAGAUAUCCACAAGUAAUCUAGAUCUAAGCACCUCGCUUACACCUAUACUACAACUCUCACCUAUAGCGUCCUAUAGAUUAGAAUACUCAAAAGAGUUGUGAACCAGAACAUACAUAAUUAGUAAUUGCAUAAUAAAUUAGAAGUAGAUUACCAGAGUCAUCCCAUGAGCAAGCUUGAUUAGAGCUUGAUCAUGACGAAGUACAACCGGAGGAAGAACCGACAGGCCGGCCUCUCCUCCAAUCCUCCCUCGCUCUCCAUCUUGCUACUAUCUAGAUCUACACUAGUUUAGAGAAGAGAGGAGAGCUCUCAUCUCUAAACCCUAGCUUUUGCUCUCUCUAUGAAUAAUGAAUAAUGAUCAAGGGGUGCCUCCUCCAGGGGCCAGGGGGUCUGGUUAUAUAGUCCCCUCAAGUGAACCUGGGCCGUCGGAUCAAACCGACAUUGAUUGAACAGUUAUUCUUGAUCCUUUAGGUCGGUGGAGAUCUCUCGAGAGAAAGAGUCGUGAUUGGGCUCCAAGUCAGGGCGGGCACCCAGGGCAGGAGGGCGGGCGCCCUGCCUCUGGCCCCGUUCGGCCUCCGCUUCCUUCCCGUGGCUUCUGGAUGCUUCUAGAUGUAAGAUAAUUGCGCGGCACAUUAAUAUCUCUAUGUAAUCCCGACGUGUGGGCCUUUAUUCCGUAUUUCCUGAUAACCCCUUGUAGAAAUAGACAAACACCAAAACUCAUGGAAUUCUGUUAGAUAAAACCCUAAGUCUAGAUGUUGAUUUCAUUUGGAUCCUUUUCUUUGUUUAUUUGAUAAUUAAAUUUGAUACUUAAGGACCGUCAACAAUGGUGGGCCUGCUAUCAAUAUCAUGUCAUAUGCAGUAUAUCGGAAGCUUGGCAAAGGAGAUCAGGAUUUGACCAAGACUGAUAUGAUGUUAAAGGAGUUUGAAGGAAAUGUGUCUCUAGUCAAGGGAGCCAUAUGUGUUGAGUUAACCGUCGGCAGCAAAACCAUGCCGACAACUUUCUUUGUCAUUAGUGGAAAGGGUGCUUAUAAUUUGCUGUUAGGGAGAGAUUGGAUUCAUGCCAAUUGUUGGAUCCCAUCUAUAAUGCACCAAUGCUUGGUUCAGUGGGUAGGUGACAAGAUUGAAAUUGUCCCAGGGGAUUCUUCAUUUGUCAUUGCAUCGGCAGAAGCAGAUACUUAUGAAAGGACCAGAUGCAUUUCAGGAGAGAUUUGGGAGAAGGAUUUUCUCAAAGUCGCCGAUUAUGAAAUUCCACCGAUCCAAGCAGUCGGUUCUCACGAGGAGUUUUAGUGGAUAGGUUCGCCGAUGAUGGAAAAUUAGGCCAGGGGUUUACAUCGGUCAAUGAUUUAGUAGAAGUAGAUAUAGGUAAUUGUAAGUGCAAUAAAGCCCAUUGUGGGUUUUGGUGUUGAUGACCACUGAAUUAGGGAACUAAUGAUCUUUAGUGAGAUGACAAGCAGGGAACUAAGAAUGGAGGAUGUUAAACAGUUUGAUGGGUCACCGAUCCAAUUUGAAAAGGCUUUUCAAAGAGAUCUCAUGGAAGUUUUAUCUUUGUUUCUAUUUAUUCCUUGAGUAUAGGAAAAGCCGUACUAUCAAGAGGGACUCCAGGUUUGUUGAUCAAAUGUCGAACGAAAUGCUCAAAUCUUCUGUUUCAUUCUCAACCCUCACUCCAAUCAGUCGUGCUCUCUCUGUGUUUUCCUGACUGGUUUGACUAGGACGGCAGUGCCGCCCUCCUUCUAGCUGUUGGAAUACAGGGGUAUAUAUACCCUUCCUACUUGACCACAAUGGUCAUCUGAGCCAUUCACUUCGUCUUCCUUCGUCCUAACCAUUACAGAACACCAGUGCUCACAUCUCUCUCUCUUCCAUUGUUGCAUCUCAAGCUCUCAAGCAAAUCCAUCAUUCCAACCAUCAUUUCUUGAGAGAAAGGGUUGCAAACUUUGAUUAGAGAGCAGAUCCAUUGUUUCCCAAAGUCUAAGAGCAUUUGGUUCACGUUUGGUCGGCAUCCCUAGAGUUUGUUACUCUUGGAGCUUGCUCCUAGCUGGCUAGGCAUCGCCCUAGAGCUUGCCAAACUUGUGUGGUAGCCAAGGGAAGUCUGUAACCUCGACUUGAAGCUAAGAAAUCACCCCUUUCUCAAGAGGUAACACUCUUGUUGAAGAACGACGGAAGGACAAGCCUUUGUGGCAAGUCGUUCCUAGUGUGGGCACCUCAACAACGUGGAGUAAGUGCAGCCUUGUGUGGCGACCACUGAACCACGGGGUAAAUCUUUGUCUGCUAUUUAUGUUCUUAUUUACUUGUGUUCUUGAGUUGUUCUAGGGUUUGAGCUCGAUCUACUAUGCAACAUAUCUUCUGCAGGUUUGUGUGUUGGUUCUAGUGCUUACUAACUUGCAGGGAGCUGGGAAAUUUAUCUGAUCUAAGUUUCCCAAAGUCUUUCUUGUUUAGUUCUUUAGCUUUCUAUUAAGAGGCCGGCAGUGCCGCCCUGUCGUGUGAAUCUGAAAGCAAGUGAAGUUUUUUAGUUGACAGGCCUAUUCACCCCCUCUAGGCCAUCCUAGACUGCCAGAGAUCCUACAGUAAUGGUGAUAGGCCAAGGCCUACUUUUAUUAGUGCUAAGUUUGAUUCUGAGUGUAAGCAAUAGUUAACCGAUUUAUUAAAGGAAUAUAAAGAUUGCUUUGCUUGGGAUUAUACCGAGAUGCCUGGUUUAGACCGAUCUAUUGCUGAACAUCGGUUGCCUAUCAAGUCUGGGUUUCAGCCGCAUCAGCAGCCAGCGCGCUGAUGCAAUCCUAAUAUUCUUCCUGAUAUUAAGGCCGAAAUAACUAAACUUAUUGAAGCUAAAUUUAUUCGGCAAUGUCGAUAUGCCGAAUGGAUUUCCAAUGUUGUUUCAGUGUAUAAGAAGAAUGGAAAACUUUGUGUCUUUAUUGAUUUUAGGAAUCUCAAUAAAGCCACGCCGAUGGAUGGUUAUCCGAUGCCAGUUGCCGAUCUAUUAGUUGAUGCUGCGGCCGGGCAUCGGAUUAUUAGCUUUAUGGAUGGUAAUGCAGGUUACAAUCAGAUAUUCAUGGCUGAAGAAGAUAUUCCCAAGAGUGCAUUUAGAUGUUCGGGUCAUGUUGGAUUGUUUGAAUGGAUAGUCAUGACCUUCGGCUUGAAAAAUGCUGGUGCUACUUAUGAGAGGGCUAUGAAUUUUAUUUUCCACGAGUUCAUCGACAAGAUAGUUGAGAUCUAUAUUGAUGACGUGGUGGUUAAGUCUGGGGAUUUUGCAAAGCAUCUUGCCGAUCUACGAAAAGUGCUGGAGUGCACAAGGAAGCAUGGUUUAAAAAUGAAUCCUAAUAAAUGUGCGUUUGGUGUAUCGGCAAGACAAUUUCUUAGUUUCAUGGUGCAUCAAAGAGGGAUUGAAAUUAGUAGGAGAUCUAUUGAUGCUAUCAACAAGAUAGUUGCUCCCACCAAUAAGGCUAAACUUCAAUCACUGAUCAGCAAGAUAAAUUUCAUCAGACGAUUUAUAUCUAAUUUGUCUGGUAAAAUUCGUUCUUUUAGUCCUUUACUUAAGUUGAAGGCCGAUGAGGAAUUUGUAUGGGGAGAAGAGCAACAGUUAGCCUUAGACGAGAUCAAGAAUUAUUUGUCAAAUCCUCCAGUUUUGGUUCCACCACAGCAAGGGAAACCCUUCAGGUUAUUUAUCUACCGAUGGCGCGGUCAUUGGUUCACCCCUCAUUCAAGAAUUUGAAGGGAAGGAACGUGUGAUUUAUUAUCUAAGUAGGAGAUUGGUGGAUGCUGAGACAAUGUAUUCGGCAAUUGAGAAAUUGUGUUUAUGUGUAUACUUCUCCUGUGUCAAAUUAAGACAUUACUUGCCAUCGGCCGAAUGCACUAUUAUAUACAAAGAAGAUGUGGUCCGGUACAUGCUAUCUAUGCCGAUUAUGAGCGGUAGAAUCUGCAAAUGGAUUGUGGCGUUGCCGGAAUUUGAUUUACGUUAUGAAUCGGUUAAGGCAGUUAAAUGGCAGAUUAUGGCUGAUUUUGUAACUCAACAUUGUGGUGUAGUGAAUGCCUUGGAAAUUGUUCCUUGGACACUCUUCUUUGAUGGAUCAACAUGUGACCGGGGGGCAAGAGUUGGCAUAGUACUAAUUUCUCCUCAAGGAAAGAAGUAUGAGUUUUCUUUGCCGAUUGUUGCCACGUCGACAAAUAAUCAAGCUGAGUACCAAGCUCUAAUCAAGGGGUUGGAAUUGUUGAAGGAGGUUCAUGCCGAUGCUGUUGAGAUCUUCGGCGAUUCUAUGCUUGUUAUAAAUCAAUUGGCUGGAAUUUAUGAAUGCCGAAGUGAAGUUUUGAUAACCUAUUAUGAAAAGAGCAUACAACUGUUGAGGAAAUUCAAGGAUUUCCGAUUGGAGUAUGCCUCAAUUGCAUAAUGAAGAGGCUAAUCGGUUGGCUCAACAAGCCUUGGGAUAAUAACCCAUCUCAAAUAUGUUAUCGACAGUCAGUGCCGAUGAUAGGAGAAAAGAAAUUAUUGACUAUUUAAAAGAUCCAGCUAAAAAGGUUGAAAGGCGUGUCAGGUUUCAAGCUACCAAGUAUGUACUCCUUGGAGAAGAGUUAUAUUAUCGAACAUUAGAUGGAAUUUUGCUUAAAUGUUUGAGUAAUGAUGAGGCUAGAAGCUUGAUUGGUAAGAUCCAUGAAGGAGUGUGUGGAGCACAUCAGUCGGCUUAUAAGAUGAAGUGGAUGAUUAGGAGAAACGGAUAUUAUUGGCUGACUAUACUUGAGGAUUGCUUUAAUUAUUUCAAAGGAUGUCAAGGAUGUCAGAAGUUUGGCAAUAUUCAAAGGGCACCCGCAUGGGCCAUGAAUCCUAUUAUUAAGCCUUGGUCGUUCCGGGGAUGGGCUAUUGAUCUAAUCGGCCAGAUUUAUCCGCCAUCAAGUAAAGGGCGUAAGUUCAUCUUAGUUGCUACUGACUAUUUUACUAAAUGGGUUGAAGCUAUUCCUUUGAAGAAAGUGACAUCGGCUAACACGAUUGAUUUUGUAAAGGAGCACAUUGUUUACUGAUUUGGUAUUCCUCAAACAAUAACUACCGAUCAGGGUACCAUGUUCACAUCGGGAGAGUUUGAUGAAUUUGCAAUCGGUAUGGGGAUUAAAGUGUUGAAUUCUUAUCCUUAUUAUGCUCAAGCCAAUGGACAUGCCGAAGCAUCUAACAAAGGGAUUAUUAAGCGUCUAACGUUGUUAAAUGAAGCUUUGUGGUCAUAUCAGAUGGCAUGUCAUGGAUCAACUAAAGUUUCACCUUAUCAGUUGGUGUAUGGGCACGAUGUGGUGUUGCCAUGGGAGAUUAAGACUGGAUCUAGGCGGGUCUCUUUUCAAGAUCAAUUGGCUACUGAUGACUAUGCAACUUUUAUGAAAGAUGAAUUGGAUGAUUUGGCAGAGCAUCGGUUGAGAGCUUUGAUGAGUAUAGAAGAGAAUAAAAAGAGAGUUGCUAGAUGGUAUGAUAAAAAAGUAAAAGCUAAGGGGUUUGCCGCUGGAGAUUUGGUAUGGAAAUUAAUUUUACCGAUUGGGACUAAAAGUUCAAAGUUUGGAAAAUGGUCUCCUAAUUGGGAAGGUCCUUACUGGAUAACUCAGUCUGCUCCUGGUAAUGCUUAUAUUUUAGAAACUCUCGAAGGAGUUGAAUUUCCCAGAGUGUUAAAUGGAAAAUAUCUAAAGAAAUAUUACCCAAGCAUCUAGGUUGAUGCAUAGAAGUUUAAGUGCCGACAACACUCCUAUCGGCUGGACGAAAGGUAUCUGAGAUCGUGAUGUUUUAAGAAGUGCCGAUAACAGUCCUAUCGGCUAGACCAGAGUGAUCAAAAGUUUCUAAGGGCAGAACGAAACAAGUUGAUGAAGAGCUCACAGAUUUAGCAGAGCUUGGAUAGUGGGUAUGGUGCACAGACGGAUCUGGUUGGCUUCUUCUAUCUCCCAGAUAUCCUCAUCGGCAGAACCUUCUACUGGCUUCAGUUUCUUCUUCAUCUGCAGUGCUGUACGGGCUUCGAUGUUUCGUUCUUGUUGGAAAAUCUUGAGCUUCUCAUGUAGCUGGCUUUCUUCUUGUUGAGCUUGGGUCAGGGCCUAUUCUACUUGCUUGAGCUCAACUAGUAAGGCUUCCCUUCUUGCCGAUAAGACAGAGAUCUUCUGCUUUUGCUCAUCCCUGGAGGACUGCAGAAUCACUACAAGAAAUACCCUUAUACAUGACAUUUUAUUUUCGUCAUAGACAAGCGAAAACGCGUCACACUUAACUCACCAUGACGAUUGCAAAAACCGUCAUGUAUCCCACGUCAUACAUUUACUAGACUAAGAUAAGCCAUCAUAGAUUUGUAUUUGUGAUCAUCAUGAAAUCCCUAAAAGCCCAUGCAGCCCAGGCUAGGCCCGCUAGGGUGUGAUGAAAUAGACCGUCAUAACCAUCUGCCAUGUAGAAUGUUUUUCGUCACUGAUUUGAGUUGCCAUGUAAGCGCCAUUUGUUCACCAAAAUUGACCAUCACAAAUUAUAUAAUGAAAAUCACAUAAAGCCCAAUGAUUUGAUUAAGUCAUAGUACAUUAACACAACAUGUUCUGAUCAUCAUAAAACUUAAGGAAACACAAAAAUAUGUCAUUGUCAACCUUCACAUCUAUUACAAUAGCAUUAUGGACACCCUACUCAUAAGCUUGAAUAUUUUUUCUGUAUAGUGGCACUCCUUCAAAAGAUCCAUUGCACUAGGUUCCUAGUCUUUAUACUUGUCUCCCUGAAAAUACACAUGUGCACAGAUUAACUCAAAUGUAUGCAAAGUAAAUCGUAGGCAAGGAACAAGGCGUCUAAGUCAUGUACAAUAAGAAUGGAAAAGGAACAACCAUAUAUUCAACUGUGCUAAACAAUGACCUAUACAAUUCCAUAUGCCAUGGGCAUAUCCUAGUUUUAAGUUCAAUGAUAACAAAUAUUUCAGACAUAUAUGUCUAUAUCACUUAAUAUAACUCAGCCUAGUGCUAAACAAAACUAGAUAGUGAAUCUACCAGCUUAUGUUCAUCACAGGCUUUCUAAAACACAGAUAGUGAAUCUACUAAAAGGAUUAAUCCAGGAAACUGAAAAUCACCAUUUCAAACAGAGUAUAUUAUAAUAGCAUUCUGGACAGUCGAACACUCCUUCAAAAAUCCAUUGCAUCAGGUUCCUAGUCUUUCUACUUGUCUCCCUGAAAAUUACGCAUAUGCAGGCAAAUUGCAUUGAGUGUAUGAGCAGAGAAAGAGGAUUUUUCUAUUUAACACUACAUCAUUAGACUACUGCAAUUUAGAAACUUUUAUAGAUUCAAUGACUGUGUUUUAGACUAGUUUGGGAAAGGAUUCCAUUCCUAUAUUUUAGACUAGUUGCGGCUCUAAAUUGCUGACAACCACAAUGACAAUAUGUGCAAGUUACCGACAUUGCAAAACUGAGUGAUCCUCUAUUUGACAGUCACUAUUUAUUUGUUCCAAGUUUUCAGAUAUGUUCAACGUAAUUUAGAACUAAUUUAGCUAAGAACAGAGACAGAAUCCAACCAUGGUGUUAAGAUUGUCAAGUUUCUGGAUUGCCUCCUGAAUAUUACUCGACCAUACUGCCCUCUUAAUCUCCAUUCGUUCCAUUAUGGUUGCUACGUCAAUCUCUGCUGCAAAAAAAAAAAAUCCACAAAUCCACAAAGAGUUCAACAGCAGAGGAUAGAAAGGGCUACCUCCUAGAUCCGCAUCUGGUGGAGGGGGCAUAGCUCAAGCUCCAUAACCAGGGGCUGGGAGGCACCAUCGCAGAGGGGUAAAGGCCCGAGCUUCUCAUCUGAUGGAGCGAAGAUGGAUGGGGAGCCGCUAUGGAGCUUGAGCUAUGCAACCGGAGUGGGACCGAAGCGCCGCAUCUGGUGGAGGAGAAGGAUCUUGAGCUCUACAGCCAAAGGAGACGGGAGUUGCCAUUGCCGGAGGGGGCCGCCGCUGGAGGCCUCCAGAUGCCGCAUCUGUGGUGGAGGGAAGCUAGAGGGUGCGGCAGUGGUGGUGGCCGCGCCAAUGUGCUGAUGAGAGAGAGCCCGAACUAGGAAACCCUAACUCCCUAAGUUGUUGUAUAUAUACUCGAUACAUAUAAUGGGCCGGUUGUGGAUGUCCAAACGAGCCCAUAGAUGAUCCAUGAUGUUUUCUACAUACGUCACCCAAAAACCAUCAUGUAAAGGCAAAUUUUUUGUAGUGAAUGCCGAUGCUCUUGUGCUUCUCAUCGACAAUACACGUUACUUGCAUCACUUCUUCUGUGAGUUGGGCGUUAGCGGCUCUAUCGGCAAGACGCUGAGUAGCCUUCUAGUAUUGGAGCUGGCGACUCUCCAAGUGUGCAGCCUGAAAUAGAGUUUCUUCUACAUCAGCUGGGAUCUGGCCUCGAAGGGUCUUAAACAAAGCUUUGGCUGAGUUAGAAUCAUCGACAGUUGAGCGGUAUCUUGAUGUAGCAGAGCCAACAGGUCCUCCAGUUUAGCUUUGAUUUCUGCUGAUGAGAUCCCCACUGCUUGAGAAGAGCUUGCUUCUUCACCCUCAUCGUCGGAUAUGUCGAUGGCAAAGGAGAAUAAGCUGUCUGGAGAAUCCUGUUCCUGAGAAGGGAAUAGAGAUAAGAUAUUUGAUAAUCAAAUGCUGAUAAUAAAGGCUGGAGAUCAGAAACUUACUUGCUUCAGAGCAAUUUCGCGCCUUUGAUAAGGGGACGCGGCCUGUACUAUAGGUUGAUCGGCUGGAGUUGCCGAUGGAACAAUGUCAGCUGAGAAAUUACAAGAAUAAUUAUAAUUUGUAAAGAUAAAUCCAUCGGUGAUAAUUCUAUGGUCAGUACUUUACCUUGAGGAGGUGCAAUGCUUGUUUGCUCUGGCGGAACAACCGAUGAUAUGAUCAGAUCAACUGUAUCGAUAGUUUGCUCAUGUACUUCGGCUGGUGCUUCUUGUGGCUGAGGUGCUGGUUGAGGAGGGGACGAAACUUGCUGUGUGUGGAUUUCUAGUGAAGAAGGUGAUGAUUCUACAUGUAUCGGUGACACUAGCUGAGGAGGAGGAGAUGGUGCUGUCCUCUGGCGCUUUGACUGUUACUUGGUGCUCUUGGGGCCUUUUCUCUUUACUUGGCUAGGCUGGGGGGCAUCAGCACUGUUGGGUAUUCUUAACUUCAUUACUAAAAGUAGACUAAGUUCUCUAAAUCUAGUAACGGUGCCAAAAAUGCCAAACCUAUCCCUCACACCACUUAAGCCAAGUUGUCAUCCCCAGCAUGACAUGAGAGACGCGCUAUUGAAAUAUGCAAUUGCUCUUCUAAAUAAAUAAUGAAUGGGAUCUGCAAGCGCACAGAUUAAUACCGAUGCAGCAUUUUAACCGGGAAGUAUUCCAGGUAUCGUUAUUUAUAUUUUUACCACUGGGAAGGGAUUAGAAAUCAUCACUAAUGAUUACAGAAUAGAAUAUGAGAUUGAGCAUCUAUCAUUGCAUGUAUAAUUGAGAACAUUAUAUCUAACUCUUCAUACAGCGAUAAGUGUCACAUAAAAGAUAUAUGAAGUAAUAAUAGUGACAAGGAUAACUAAUCUGAUCUAGCCACAUAAUAAAUAUGAUAAGCACCUCAAUUAGAUACUCUAGAAAGUCAUUAGCAUGGUAUUAGAACGAACUACAAGAAUAUUCCCUAAGUUAUUCUUAACUAUAUAGUCUAGCAUUAUCAUAGUUAGUGCAAGCAUACUUAGCAAUCAUUGCGAGACAAGCCUACGCCCAUGCAUAGUGAUAUUAGCAAGGAAUAUGAGAAACAUAGCAAUCACUCCCCUGUAAUAAUGUUGCUCUGCCAGCCCAAUACACGAGAGGGGGACUAUAUAAGAAUCAAUGAAGUUGUCACUAUCACGAACCACCCCACGAUGUGGCAUAUUGGGUACAAUCGCAGAUAAAUACGGUAUAAGCACCACGCCUACACAAUAUCUAUCAUUUACCCAUGGAUCCGAUGGAUAAACGCUAUACGAUCCUAAGCAUGUAUAUAGAUCGUAUCUAACUAAGCCAAGUACAUAACUAUGAUAAACUAAGAACAAUAUAAUCUUGAAUAUAAGCAAGUAGAGCAAAGUCAUAAGCAAUAUAUUGAAGUAGAACAAAGUCAUAUUCAUAAUAUUGAAGAACAAAGAUAAUUAGAAAGCAAUUAGAAGCACAAUUAGAGAAUUACCAAGAAUCCUCCUGACAGAUCCGGAAACCAAUCGAAGAUUGACUCCUUCUAGUUCUAACCUAUGUAGCUAUGCUAUCUAGAUGUCUAAUUGAUGUGGUGGCUCUAAUCUUGAUCAGAGGCUUCUUCUCCCUUGAUGGAACAAUGAAUUAGGGUUGAGAGGCUCUCUCCUCCAGGGGCCAGGGGGUCUGGUUUUAUAGUCCCUUCAAGUGAAUAUGGGCCCUUGGAUCAAACCGACAUAGAUUGUAUGGUUUAGAUUCAUCCUUUAGGUCGGUGGAGAUCUCCCGCAAAGCAGAGUCCUGAUUGGACUCAGGGGCAGGGCGGGCGCCCUGACCAACUGGGCGGCCGCCUAGGGUCUGGCCCCGUUUCGCCUCCGCUUCGGUCUCGUGGCUUCUGGAGUCUUCUAGAUGUAAGAUAAUUGCGCAGCACGUUAAUAUCUUUACGUAAUCCCGACAUGUGGGCCUUUCUUCCAUAUUUCCUGAUAACCCCCUGCAUAAAUAGACAAACACCAGAACUCGUGGAAUUCUGUCAGAUAAAACCCUAAGUCUAGAUCUUGAUUUCAUUUGGAUCCUUUUCUUUAUUUAUUUGAUAAUUGAAUUUGAUACUUAAGGACCGUCAACAAACUCCCCCAAGCUUACCUCUUGCUCGUCCCUGAGCAAAGAUAGACUCAGCUAUGGAUCAUAAGUUGUUGCAAUAUUUUUUUAAAAAUUUGACGGUACACAUGCUUUUAAAUAAGAUCUCAUCUCUGAGUUAGAGUAAACUGUCAAGACUUAAAACUUACUUACUUUACCUACACCAUGGGACUUGUAACUGUCACUUCUAUCUUGAGUGGUUAAAAGAUAGAACACUCUAGCCAAGUGCCAUGUCUCUUAUUCUUGAUCAGCUAUAGCUUUGGGGUUUUUGCAGAUUUUCAAAUAAACCUCAGAAAUUCCUUAUAUGAUUCUCUCAGGUCUCUCUUUUGUGGUAUUUUUGGAUCCUUGCCAAGGCAUUGAUGGUAUAUGCCUUCUCUCAAGAUAUGUAGUAUUUGUGGUAUAAGGCAUAGUGACAUUGCCUUCUCUCUCACCCUACUCUAAUAAGGCUUUAAUAUCUGGAGCUCAUAGGUGGGAGAUAAAAUAUACAUACUUACAAGACAUUUAUUGCAUAGUCAAACCAUGGAUCCAAAGUAACAAGCCAAUAAGAUUAAUCAAGAUGUGCAUGGGUGGCGAAUGAAUGGUGUAUGGUGGUGAUGGUGAUAACAAUGGUGAAAACAAUGGUGGUGGAAGUCUAAUUCUACUUUGCUCUUUGAGGGAAUACAUACCUUCCUUGCUAUUGAAACUUUAUGAGGUGAAUGAGAUGCUCUUCUUUUUUUUCAGGUGGGUAUCUUGCACCCCUAAUUCUACUGUCGGACACUUGUCCAUUUUUACCUUUCGUCUCACUUUUUCUUUUCUUUCGAGGUUCCGAGCACUUGCUCCUUUUUAUUUCCUCGUAUAUUUUUUUUUAUUUUUUUUAGAGCACUCAUCUCUUGAGAUAAUAUAGCAAGUGGUAGUAACAAGAUAACUUGAGCAUUUAUUUCACAAGGGGAAAAUAGAAAUAUUUUUGGUUAUUCUCUCCCGGAUUAGGAGUAGAAUAUUUUUGGGUGAUUCUGGAGAUGGAAUGGGUGGAUAUAUGUGGAUGGUACUUCCGGAGUAGAAGUAGCAUAUAUGAGUGAACGUGUAAGUGAAUCUUGAUUUAACCACAUGACAAGCUCCUAAGGUUCUACACAGCUUGACCACACUCAAUGCUCAUAAGCAGUAAAUAUUAAAUGUGUGGCUCAAAGUCUAGCAAGCAUGUAUAAAUGGCUGUGGUAGGAAUUUAAACUCUCAUCAUACAGGAACUCAUCAUGCAACAUUUUAAAGAUUUUCAAAGAUAAAAUUCUCCAGAAUUCUAGCAUCUCUAGGAACAGAUAAACAGCAGCUCAACCUUCCCAUAUCAUAUCCGUUAACAACUUAUACUUCAGAUCAAGUUUUCAUCCCACAAGUUUAGGUCUAGAGCAAGCUUUAAAUUAUAACAGUUAUAUCUAAACUUGAGAGAGAACUUAAAAUUUGCAAAUUAGGCAGAGCAACUAUUCAUCAUAUCCAUGCUUAAGUUUUAUUUAGAUACAGAUUAGCAUAGACACUUUAUUUAUUUAUUAAACACACUAAGUAAAAGACAUAUAUAAGCAUAAAAUUUUUAUUUGGUUUUCCCAUAGUUUAUGUGUAUUUUAAUAUUCUAAAAUAAUAUAAGUAUAAAGAUAGAUAGAUAGAAAUACUUAUCGUGAUAAAUGGGGGUGCUCUCCCCCAAGCUGAAUUUUGACGUAAUUUCUCUUGAUGUAGCUAGCAGGUGGCAGAGGUGUAGUUGAAAGUCAGCAGCAUUCUGACAGCGAUUAGAAUGUCCUCCGUCUGCCAGUCUUCUUGAUUUCUGUGGAGCUCAAAUAGACAACAAAGCUUGUGGAACUGAUUAAGUGUUAGCAUAAAUAUCUAGCCUUUAUUAUCUUGAGACUCCUUAAUAAAUGUUACUCCCUGUUUUUAUAUUUUUGUUUUAUAAAGCAGAAAAAUAUUUAUUUUAUUUUUAUGCCACCACAGUGAAUGUACUUAUGGGUUUUAUGCCACUCGUCUACUCACAUAGGGCUUACUGUUUUUUCAUAUUUUUAUUUUCUUUUUAAGAUAGUGUGAAUAUGAUUAACUAAGUAAACUAUUUGAAAUAACUGAAAGGGAAAGGAUAACUACCAAGUUUACCUCUUGGCAAGGCGUUCGGUGUUUUUAAGUCCUCCGAAUGGGACUCUCCAAUUUCUUAAUUGUCCUGAGGUUCGUUGGGUGGCGUAGUCGGUACUUCCGGCAGCGCCUCCUCUUCUUGUAUAGUUAUCUUCAUUUUCCAUACCUGACUCGGUGCUUCGAUCUCCUCUGGAUAAUUCUGUUUAAAUUCAACGUCUUCUGACCUUACAACUUCUCCUUCAUAGUCUGCCCAUCCGUCCUUGAUGAUCUGCCUCCUCUGGUUGCGGUUGCGUCUUUUUCUGACCUGCUUAGAUUCUUCAAUGAUAUAGUCAGGGUCAAUAAAAUAACGGCGUACCUUCUCUGAGGGGAAGUGCAUAUGGACUUCUCCGGUUCCAAUGUAGAUAAUUGCUUUAACGGUGCUGAGGAAGGGUCUUCCAAGGAUGAUGGGUGGAUCAUACUCAUCUUCUCCCAUGUCAACAACUUGAAAGUCUGUGUAGACAAAGUGAUCGUCUAUUUUGACUGGGACAUCAGAUACUAUUCCUUUAACUUCUCGAAAUGUCUGAUCUGCCAUCUGGAGCUGAAUGUAUGUUGGUCUUAGUGGCAUGGUCCCGAACAAGAGCCGAUAAGUGACUGCGGCCAUUAUGUUGACGCCCGAUCCGGUGUCGCAAAUCGUCUUGUAGAAGUUGUAUCCAUUUAUGGAGCAGUAGAUGCUUGGCAUUCCUGGGUCGUCCUUCUUGGUCAAAAAUGGUGACUUAAGUUGAUGAUCUUGGCCUCCAUGGACUACAGUGACCAUCUUAGCUGACUCGGUCCACACUUGCUUGUUCCUGUUCCUCCUGUUGGUCCUCUUCCUUGAUUCACGUCUGGAUUGAUCUUGAAUUUGUGUAGUCUUGUUCUUGAAGAAAAAUGUCUCCUUCUUCCCUUUGACGUAGAAACUGAUCUUGGCAGCACCAGCGUAGAUGAUAGCUCCCAUGGUGUUCAAGAAUGGCCUCCCUAGGAUGAUAGGUGCUCUCUCAUCAUUUCCGGUCUCUACCACUACGAAGUCUGCUGGGGCAUACAAGGUACCAACUCGGACACAAAGGUUCCUCACUAUUCCGUUUGGAAAAGUUAUCGUCUGAUCUGCAAACUGCAAACACAUGGUUGUCUCUAAUAAACGAUAUGUAAAGAAUUUCUCAUAGAGUACCCUGGGUAUAAUGUUGACACUGGAGCCAAAGUCGCAGAGUGCUUCUGGGACAUCCACCAUGCCGAUAGAGAUCGGGACGACGGGGCGUCCUGGAUCGCCUCUCUUGACCGGCAGACGGUCAGUAGAAAAUUCAGUGACGGGGUUACUCCAAUUACCUGCAUCAAACAUGUCUACAAGAUUUGCAGAUUCUAAUCCUUCCGGUUGUGAUGGUAUACCGGGGUUAGUAGCAGGAACAGCAGCAGCAAUUUGAUUUAACUGAGAUUCAAUCAUUUUAUUAAAGCUAAUUUGAUUCUUGAUGGCAGUAGAGAAAUUAUCCAUUCUAUUAUUUAUAUUUUCUAGCAUUUUAUCAUUAGAUGCCAAUUUCUUAGAUAGGUUAUCCAUUAGCUUUCCUUGAUUAGACACUAACUCUCUCAAAGGUGGAAAAUUAUUAUUAUUGUUGUAAGAAUUGUUACCUUGAUAAUUACCUGAGUAGUUAGGCCUCUGUUGAUUCCAACCUUGAUUUUGUUGAGGACGGUUGUAGUAGUUGUUGUUGUUGAUGUAGUUCACAUCCUCAAGCAUCUCAGGGCAGUGAUUGCCUGAGUGUCCAGUGUCUCCACACUCCUCACAAGUCAUGUGAGAGUCGUAGAUGUGCAUAACUUCUUUCUUGCCUCCAGCUCUAUCAUCGAGCUUCUUCAUGAGCAGGUCUAGCUUUGCAGACAGCAUGUCUACCUCCUUCAGCUGAUGCAUACCUCCACCUCUCUUGCGUGUCUGGCUCCUCUCUUCAUUCCAGCUUUGGUUGGACGCCAUCUUCUCCACAAGAGCUGUGGCUUGUGGUAUAGUAAGUGAUAAGAAUGCUCCUCCAGCUGCAGCAUCCAUGGUCUCUCGGGCACUGUUGCCGAGCCCAUGAUAAAACGUCUGCAUCAAUAGCCAACUCUCCAUUCCAUGAUGGGGACAUUCUAGGAUGUAGUCUUGAAAGCGCUCCCAUGCUUCUGGAACAGAUUCAUCAUUUUGUUGAUGAAAACUUGUAAUCUUCCCACGGAGAGCAUUGGUCUUGCCCAUGGGAAAGAACUUAGCCAGGAAGUUUGUUGAGCAGAGUGCCCACGUAGUAUUCUUCUCCUUUGUAGCGUAGAACCACUGCUUCGCUCUUCCUAACAGUGAGAAUGGGAAGAGGCGAAGUAGUAUAGCAUCUUUGGAAACUCCUGCUAUGGUGAAUGUGUUGCAAAUCUCCAGGAAGUGUUGUAAAUGAGCACUAGCAUCUUCGUGUGCCUUCCCACAGAACUGGUUGGAUUGCACCAUGUUAAUAAGUCCAGGCUUGAGCUCAAAGUUGUCGUCGAUCUCUGCAGCAGGUCCAGUGCGGAUGUUGUCCGUAGUGGGAGCUGAGAACUCGCGGAUCGAUUUGUUCGCCAUGGCUUCGAACUCUGAAGACAAGUUCCGGUGAUCUUCUUGAUUGGAUGAAGCUUCUUGCUGAAGUGUUGAUGAUUUCUUUAGCUUGGCUCUCGUCUUCUUGAAUAAUGCUUCGGGAUUGUCAACAAAAUUUCCUGGAAGAUGUCUUCUAUUCAUACAUUCCCCUACAUAAGAUAAAAUAGAAAAAUAUCGGGGUAAAACUGUAUGAGAGAAUAGAUAAGCUCAAUCAUAUUAGUGAUGCGAAUGAUAACUCAAAAUGUUUUAUUCCAUUCCUGAUUAGUAAUCAACCUUCCCCGGCAAUGGCGCCAAAAAAUGCUUGUUGGGUAUUCUUAACAUCAUUACUAAAAGUAGACUAAGUUCUCUAAAUCUAGUAACGGUGCCAAAAAUGCCAAACCUAUCCCUCACACCACUUAAGCCAAGUUGUCAUCCCCAGCAUGACAUGAGAGAUGCAGUAUUGAAAUAUGCAAUUGCUCUUCUAAAUAAAUAAUGAAUGGGAUCUGCAAGCGCAUAGAUUAAUACCGAUGCAGCAUUUUAACCGGGAAGUAUUCCAGGUAUCGUUAUUUAUAUUUUUACCACUGGGAAGGGAUUAGAAAUCAUCACUAAUGAUUACAGAAUAGAAUAUGAGAUUGAGCAUCUAUCAUUGCAUGUAUAAUUGAGAACAUUAUAUCUAACUCUUCAUACAGGGAUAAGUGUCACAUAAAAGAUAUAUGAAGUAAUGAUAGUGACAAGGAUAACUAAUCUGAUCUAGCCACAUAAUAAAUAUGAUAAGCACCUCAAUUAGAUACUCUAGAAAGUCAUUAGCAUGGUAUUAGAACAAACUACAAGAAUAUUCCCUAAGUUAUUCUUAACUAUAUAGUCUAGCAUUAUCAUAGUUAGUGCAAGCAUACUUAGCAAUCAUUGCGAGACAAGACUACGCCCAUGCAUAGUGAUAUUAGCAAGGAAUAUGAGAAACAUAGCAAUCACUCCCCUGUAAUAAUGUUGCUCUGCCAGCCCAAUACACGAGAGGGGAACUAUAUAAGAAUCAAUGAAGCUGUUACUAUCACGAACCACCCCACGAUCUGGCAUAUUGGGUACAAUCGCAGAUAAAUACGGUAUAAGCACCACGCCUACACAAUAUCUAUCAUUUACCCAUGGAUCCGAUGGAUAAACGCUAUACGAUCCUAAGCAUGUAUAUAGAUCGUAUCUAACUAAGCCAAGUACAUAACUAUGAUAAACUAAGAACAAUAUAUCUUGAAUAUAAGCAAGUAGAGCAAAGUCAUAAGCAAUAUAUUGAAGUAGAACAAAGUCAUAUUCAUAAUAUUGAAGAACAAAGAUAAUUAGAAAGCAAUUAGAAGCACAAUUAGAGAAUUACCAAGAAUCCUCCUGACAGAUCCGGAAACCAAUCGAAGAUUGACUCCUUCUAGUUCUAAUCCUAUGUAGCUAUGCUAAUCUAGAUGUCUAAUUGAUGUGGUGGCUCUAAUCUUGAUCAGAGGCUUCGUCUCCCUUGAUGGAACAAUGAAUUAGGGUUGAGAGGCUCUCUCCUUCAGGGGCCAGGGGGUCUGGUUUUAUAGUCCCUUCAAGUGAAUAUGGGCCCUUGGAUCAAACCGACAUAGAUUGUAUGGUUUAGAUUCAUCCUUUAGGUCGGUGGAGAUCUCCCGCAAAGCAGAGUCCUGAUUGGACUCAGGGGCAGGGCGGGCGCCCUGACCAACUGGGCGGCCGCCCAGGGUCUGGCCCCGUUUCGCCUCCGCUUCGGUCUCGUGGCUUCUGGAGUCUUCUAGAUGUAAGAUAAUUGCGCAGCACGUUAAUAUCUUUACGUAAUCCCGACAUGUGGGCCUUUCUUCCAUAUUUCCUGAUAACCCCCUACAGAAAUAGACAAACACCAAAACUCGUGGAAUUCUGUCAGAUAAAACCCUAAGUCUAGAUCUUGAUUUUAUUUGGAUCCUUUUCUUUAUUUAUUUGAUAAUUAAAUUUGAUACUUAAGGACCGUCAACAAGCACUUGUUUGAGCCCUUCUAGUCUUUGCCGAUUUGCCAGUUUGCUGUUACAACAACCAAGAUUUCAUGAGUAAAAGUAUGAAAGAAUGUUGAUGAAAUCUUGUUAAAAGAUAAAGGUUACCGAUGAGGUUCCCAUAGCAACCGAUGUAUCCUGAAAAGAUUAUGUGAGUAUGGGAUAGAAUCGGUAUAAACAAAGGAAAUCAAAAGUCUACCUUGAAAGCCUGCGCCAGGGUAGUAGCAGCAACUGAUGGGGACGUCUUUGACCGCUUGGUGGUUAUCUUCUUGAAGCGCACAUUCCGAUGAAUCAAAGCUGCCGGACUUGGUGCAUUGUGACCGAUCAGUUCGAUCGGUCUUCCACUUCUACAGACUGUCGGUGGUGGGUUGUCGAUUUGUUUGAAAAAGGGAGAAUAAGUUACCGAUAAGGUUAGAAGUAACAACAGAACUGAGAUGUCAGUCAAAAACUUACAGUGUUAUCGGGAACCUUAUAGUUGGAGCCGAUCAUGCCACGGUAUGUCAGAGCCGAUGCGCAGAACAGGUGUUCUUUCCAUUCUUCCCACCACUGUUUGUGCGCCUGAGUGAUCAAGAGGGCCGAGAUCCAAGCCGAUAGAUCGAUAUCUGACGUAUCGGCAUUUGGUUGAAGCUGAGCUAUCCUUAUCCACUCGAGCCCAUUAGUUAUAGUCUCCCUGGGUUUCACCACAUCGGCGUAACAGACUCUGAUCACCAGCUACCCAAAUGCCAGUUGAUGAGCUAAUGCCGAUGGAUUGUAAAACUCGUAAGUGGGGUUAGAGUUUUUCCCACUACCAAAGGUGUUUACUGGGAUAGCCCUCGAAGUGAUGAUUGCCAUCAUCAGAUCAUUAUCUUUAUUAGGAGCAUCAUCAAAGGGAUGGAAGAUGAGCGGAAAUCUGGUUUCUGGGUCUUCAUAAGGCAUCCAUACACGUUAAUCUUUGGGAAGACCCUAAUACAGAGUCUGGAAGAAUCAGCUGACCUGGUCUUCAUUACCACCAGUACCAGGUAGCUCUAUGGCGGCCUCACCGUAAUUCCAGGUGAGCGAGUUGCCGAUUCUUCGUCAGCCAGUUCAUGGUCUUCGGUGAUAUCUCUAUGGAAUUGUUGUGCAAAGAGGUCGAAGCAGAGACGUUUGUGCAUGUGGACGUUAAGCCACAUGUUGAUGAACCACCAAGGGCCUCCUAGGUUGCCGAUGGGUUGGCCUAAUAGGAGCUUCUCAGCCACUUGAUGGAGGAGGUGGUAGGCAGAACCAAGGAAGUAUCGACCGAGAGGAAAUCGGCUGCCAUCAGCCAGUCUUUCUGCUGCCAAUAAGUAGACAGAGGUUGGUCCUACCAAUCGGCCACAGAAGACGAACUUGUCUAACCACAUGUUUAGGAAAACUACAUGUUCUCUUUGACCGACUGGUCCCGUCCUCUGGUACUUCUGGAUGUACCCUGACCAACCGCCGAUGUUGAGGGUUUCUACUUUGCACUCGGGUUUGCUGUCGUAUAGAUGGCUAUCAUCAGCAGAUGAUAUGUCUAAGCCAGUGAGCAUGAGCACAUCGGCAAGAGUGGGGGAAGCAGGGCCAUGACCAAACAGAAAAGCAUUGAAAGUAUCUGACCAGAAGUAUGAAGCAACUAUCAAUAGCGAUUCAUUUCUUUCCAUAUCGGCAAUGGAUAACCUGAUACACUGGUCCAGUUUGUGCUCACCCCAUUGGACUUUGUUUGAGUUGCCAACUAUCAGGAACCAAUCUCUCCAUCCCUUAGUAGAACUGGGCCAAGAUCGGAAGGUAUCUUUCCAUAGAUCUGAGGAGAAAUUUUCAGCUCUAAAGGGGAUUCUAUUUAUCUCUGCGUUGAUCAGAUUGGUAGGAUCCGGGUUACCCAAUGGCCCGAGACAUUGAAAGUGGGGUUGAUCGGUGGGAAUCACAAUUUUAUCAGCGAAUUCCUAAAGGUUUGAAGGUUGGAAGAACAGAAAAAGGAAAAAGAAAGAAAGAACGUACUCAGUAAAUAGAUUUGCGGAAGUUAAAACUACAACAAGUAGACAGGGGAAAUUGACCUCAGGGACGGUGAAGUUCAUAGCCAUUUCUUCCAGGGAGGAAGAAGAUCAAUGAAGGACUGGCUGGGCUUGCUGACGUUCUCGGACUCCUCGAACAAUGCCGCCGUUAGGAAGAUGGGUUUUGAGGAUGCAGAAUGACAAGGUGGAGGAAGAGUGCCGAAGAAGGAAGUAUUUAUAGGAUAAAGAGAGCAGGGGUAUUUCUGACCUAUUCCUUUGCCGUAUCCAUGAAAAUCGAGGGUGUUCAGGUGGAUAUGGUAACUGUUCGCACGAUAAUCAAGGGAUUGUGUAGGUGAUUUGACAGUAAGCGGUCAUAAUUUUGGGAAGAUAUUUUACUGUGCAAGAUCUCCUGGUCGGUUCAUCGACAGUUCUCUCUAACGGAAACAUUGCCGAUGAACGAAUAUUUAGGAGAUUCGGUCUGAGGAGUUGAGAGAUUCGAGGUGCAUGCUGGAGAACCGGGCUAAGGUUGUUCGGAUUUGGUAAUUAAUUAUUGUCAGGUGGGAGUAAUCGCGGAAAGGCAUCAUUACUGAAGAGAAUUUUGGAGCAUUAAUGAUUUUAUACUCCGAAAUUGGGGGGCAUGUGUUGACACCGUUUUUAGACACGUAUCUUUGGACGCGUAUCUGAGAAUUAGUAAAAUAUAGAUCGGCAGGUGAAAGAGUGGUGAGUGUUUGUCAAGGAGGUUACCGAUGGGAAUUGAUGCCGAUAGAUAAAGAGCAGAAUGUGGCCAAGACUAGGGAUGGUGAUUGAUCUAUACCGAUGAUUGAUGCUUGCGAUUGCCGAUGUCGAUGGAAGGUGGUUUGCCGAUUGCCGAUGGCAACAGGGGGAGCGCAGGAGUUGCUGACAAGAUGGUGACGGUGUGUCGAUUGCUUGUAGUGGAUAGAUUAAUGUUUUGCAUAGCUGUUAGAGUUCGUUUUGUGUACGGAUUCCAUUCAAUUUUGAAUUAGAGUCCUAGUCGUGUUUGGUUGUAAUUCUUCUGGGCAGGGUAUAAAUGUAGACCCUGUAGCGGUGUAAUAGAUAUACACAAUCAAUCAAACACAAGUUUUUACAUCUAUCCCAGUAUCUACUUUUUUGAUGACUUCGUCAACUUGCAUAUUUUCUUUUUACUUACGAGUUCUUAGGAAUUCAUCGAGUCAAUCUCGGCGAGUUCUCAAGUUCUGCGUGAAUACCUCUUGGCCGUGACAUUCGGGCGCAUCGCUGUUGUCGGGACCAAAGUAUUCGUGUUAUCACCUUUAUCGAUUGUAAGGUCAAAUCGGCUGGCACGCCUUAACGUUGAAUCGGGUAUUAGCCCUUUGUGUUUGCAGAUCUACUUUUGCAUCAACAGGUCCCUUAUGAAAUGGUGCCUUAUGUCAAUGUGCUUGGUUCUUGAAUGUUGAAACAGAUUUUGUGUCAUCUUAAUUGCACUCUCAUUGUCACAUAGCAAAGGCACAUUCUUGAAUUUUAUUCCAAAGUCAUUCAAGGUAGCUUUCAUCCAAAGCAAUUGUGCACAACAACUACCGGCACUAAUGUAUUCGGCCUCAGCGGCUGAUAGUGCAACACUAUUUUGUUUCUUUGAUGACCAUGAAACUAGAGACAUUCCUAGCAAUUCACAAGUGCCACUUGUGCUCAUUCUAUCAAUCUUGCAUCCACCAUAAUCGGAGUCUAAAUAUCCAAUCAACUCAAAGUUAGACCCCUUGGGAUACUGUUGACACUUGCUAACACCACUUGAAGACUAGGUUGUCAUCCCCAGCAUGGCACCUUGUACUAUGGUAUUUAUACGCACACAGAUAAAUCCGCAAGUGCACGGAUACCGUUGUAGCUUUUACCCAGUUAAAGGUUUUAUCGUAUCCACAGGGAAACGGGAGAACUGAUCUACGCUCUAACUUAACCUAGAUAGAUAGGUAGGUGUAAAUAGGAAAGAUGAUAGGAUUGAAUAAGAACAAUAUUAAAGGUAAGAUAACAGUGAGUAAAUAUAGAGUAGAGCAAUCUAAUAUAUGGGCGAUGGUAGGAGAAUAGAGAGGAUAACUAUGGUUUCUCUACUUCAAAGGGGCAUGUCUUUGUCUGGGAUGUACCACGUGAUAAGAAUACACCACAAAGGAUGCUUAUCCAUAGGCCGAUAAACCCUACCCGUCCUGCUAACAGGAGGUGGACUACAGGGGACCAAUGUAACUAUCACCUACGCGGCCUACCACACGAUCCAGCUAGACAUGGGAUAUCCACAAGUAAUCUCAGGUCUAAGCACCAUGCUUACACCUAUACUACAACUCCACCUAUAGCGUCCUAUAGAUUAAAGUACUCAAAAGAGUUGUGAACCAGAACAUACAUGAAUAGUAAUUGCAUAAUGAAUUAGAAGUAGAUUACUAGAGUCAUCCCAUGAGCAAGCUUGAUUAGAGCUUGAUCAUGACGAAGUACAACUGGAGGAAGAACCGACAGGCCGGCCUCUCCUCCAAUCCUCGCUCGCUCUCCAUCUCGCUACUAUCUAGAUCUACUCUAGUUUAGAGAUGAGAGGAGAGCUCUCAUCUCCAAACCCUAGCUUUUGCUCUGUCUAUGAAUAAUGAAUAGGGAUCAAAGGGUGCCUCCUACAGGGGCCAGGGGGUCUGCUUAUAUAGUCCCCUCAAGUGAAUCUGGGCCGUCGGAUCAAACCAACAUUGAUUGAACGGUUAUCCUUGAUCCUUUCGGUCGGUGGAACGUAAUCCGCGAGAAGGGUACUAUUUGGACUCUGUUGCUGGGAGGGCGCCCAAGGGGGGAGGGCGAGCGCCCUGCCCCUGGGCUCGAUCGUCCUCCCUUUCAUUCCCGUGGCUUCUGGAGUCCUCUAGAUGAUUGAAAAUUGCACGGCACGUUUAUUUCUCUAUAUAAACCCGACAUGUGGGCCUUUCCUCCAUAUUUCCUGAUAACCCCCUGGAGAAAUAGACAAACACCAAAACUUAAGGAAUUCUGUCAGAUAAAACCCUAAGUCUAGUGCUGGUUGCAUUUGGAUCCUUUUCUUUAUUUAUUUGAUGAUUAUAUUUGGUACUUAAGGACCGUCAACAACUCCCCCAAGCUUACCUAUUGCUCGUCCCUGAGCAAGGAUGGACUCAAGAGUUUCUGCAGUGGUUUUAUGCCUUAAAAGGUACACAUGCAUUCAAACAAGAUCUCAUCUCUAGGUUAGGGUAAACUGUUAAGACUUAAAACUUACUCAUUUUACCUUUCACAAUGGGGCUAGCAACCGUCACUUAUGUCUUGAGUAGUUAAAAGAUAGAACGGUCAUGUCAAGCACCAUGUCUCUUGUUCUUUGAUCAACUAUAGCUCUAGAGUUUUUUGCAGAUUUUCAAAUAAAACUCAGAGAUUCCUAUAUGACUCUCUCAAUUCUCUCUUUUAUGGUAUUUCUGGAUCCUUACCAAGGCAGUGAUGAUAUAUGCCUUCUCUUAAAGUAUGUAGUAUUUGUGGCGUGAGGCAUAGUGAUAUUGCCUUCUCUCUCAUCCUACUCUAAUGAGGCUUUGAUAUCUGGAGCUCAUAGGUGGGAGACAGCUAAUACAUACUUACAAGACAUUUAUUGCAUAGUCAAACCAUGGAUCCAGAGAAACAAGUCAAUAAGUCAAAUCAAGAUGUGCAUGUGUGGCGAAUGAAUGGUGUAUGGUGAUGAUGGUGAUAACAAUGGUGAAAGUCUAAUUCUACUUUUGCUCUUUUGAGGGGAUACAUACCUUUCUUGCACUUUGAAGCUUUUUGAGGGGGGAAUGAGAUGCUCUAUAUUUUCUCUUUUUUUUUCUUUUCUCUCAGGUGGGUAUCUUGUACUCCUAAUUCUACUGUCGGACAAUGUCCAUUUUUACCUCUCGUCUCACUUUUUCUUUUCUUCGAGGUUUCGGGCACUUGCCCCUUUUUAUUUCCUCGUAUUCACUUUUUUUUUUCAGAGCACUCACCCUCUUGGAAUAAUGUAGCAAGUGGUAGUAACCAAAAUAUCUUGAGCAUUUAUUUCACGGGGAAUAACAGGGAUAGGAUAAUGUUUUUAGCUAUUCUCUCCUAGAUAGGAGUAAAAUAAUUUUGGGUGAAUCUGGAGAUGGAAAUGAGUGGAUGUAUGUGGAUGCGUACUUCCGGAGUAGAAGUAGCAUGUAUGAGUGAACGUGCAAGUGAAUCUUGAUUUUAACCGCAUGACAUGCUCCUAAUGGUCUACACAACUUGACCACACUCAAUUCUCAUAUGCAGUAAAAAGUAAAUGUAUGGUUCAUAGUCUAGCAAGGAUGUAUAAAUAGCUGUGGUAGGAUUUUAAACUCUCAUCAUACAGGAACUCAUCAUGCAACAUUUUAAAUAUUUUCAAAGAUAAAUUUCUCUAGAUUUCUAGCAUCUCUAGGAACAGAUAAAUAGCAGCUCAACCUUCCCAUAUCGUAUCCGUUAACGACUUAGACUUUAGAUCAAGUACUCUUCCCACAAGUUCAGGUUUAGAGCAAAUCUUAAUUCAUAACAGUCAUGCCUAAAAUUGGGAGAGAUUUCAAUUUUGAGAACUAGACAGAGCAACUAUUCAUCAUUUUCAUGUGAGAGCUUAUCAUGAGGGUUCAUAGCAAACUUUAUUUAUUUAUUUAUUUAGCAAAAUAAGCAAAGAUAUUUAUAUAAGCUCAAAAUCUUUAUUUAGAUUUUUAUGAUUAUGCAUCUUUUUAUUAUUUGAGUAAAGUAUAAAUAUGAGUAGAAACACUUAGCUGGAUAAAUGGGGGUGCUCUCCCCCAAGCUGGAUUUUGACGUAAUUUCUUCUGAUGUAGCUAGC
rnacentral:lncRNA from 1 species